rnacentral:tRNA from 1 species
AGCAGUGUGGCUCAGUGGCAAGAGCCCGGGCUUGGGAGUCAGCGAUCAUGGGUUCGAAUCCCAGCUCUGCCA